rnacentral:lncRNA from 1 species
GGAGCCCAGCUCCCAAAAUCCACUCAGCAGCCACACCAGUGGGGAUUGUCAGACAUCGCACCUCAGGGAGGGAGGGACGUGGUGCUGAGGGGCGCUGAGGGGAACCCUACGGCUCCCGAACCGGGGCGUGACGGGAGAGGGGCGCUGAGGGGAACCGGUGCCCGGGGUCCCACUGCUCAGGGCGAGGGUUUUUUGAGGUGCCCUCCAGCCGAGGAAGGAGGGGGGCGACCGAAACCAAACACAGCUAGCCCCGCGACCCCCGCGGGCUCGCCCUGCGCCACAGCCGGAUCCCGGCGUGUGCCGGGGCCGGGGCCGGUCGGAGCGGCGCUCCCGCUCCCACUUCGCCUUGGCAGGGCACCGCCAUCAGACGGAGUGGGAGGAAGGAACAUUAACUCCAGCAGCUGUUUCUUGACCCCGGCUGUCAGCCUGCCCGAGAACACAUCAUCUGUGACCAGAAAGCACGCAGGCAUACCUGCACCACUGUCCUCAUCUGUGCCGAGAAGCCCUAAGAGAUGGAAAGCUUUGGCUGGCAAAGUGCUGAUCAUUAGUGCAGCUUGUGCUCAGGAAGUGCUCAAAGGACACGUGUACCUUUCACUGAAUGAUUAUGUUCUGGAGAAUAGGAGUGGGAGUUCCUGUAAUAGUUUGUCCAGUGUAUGCUUCUGUCUGUGCCAGCUUUGGGGGGCAGAUGAGACAGCAGUGACAGUGUCUCAGCACAAGCUUCUAGGUCUGAACUACAGAGGAAAGGAUGCUGGUAGUGGCUGUGCAAUCCUCUAUCUGAAAGUCCUGAGGUUACAGGGCACAUUUCUUUGAAAUCCACGAGGAGGCACUCAGCAAUUUAGAUAGGCUGGGGAUGACAAAACAGUUCCCAAAGUGACAGUGGGAUUGCGCCUUCCAGAUCUGGGGUUCAAGUUACCCACCUGCUUAUGUCCUACCACCGCUGUUCUCCUGGUUUCAUCACGUAGCUCUGGUGCUUGCAGGACCAAGGAGCUGCUGCAAUUCAAUUAAGGGACAAUUCUCUCUCUAAUUUACCUAAUAUCUUUGUGAUUGUAGAGAAUGUUGCAAACCAACCCCUUCCUUUGAUUACCCAAUCCUUAUCUGUUAGAAUUGCCUGCUGUGUGCGCAGCAUCUCUGUUUGCCUGUAUACAUCUCUUCAAGUCUGUCCUCUCUGAGCUUUGUAUUCUGCUGUAUUCUGUCCCUUCUGUAUUUUCCAGUGCGUCCCAGUCUAGGCUUAACAGACUUGGUUCAUGUGUUCUGGUAAUCCUGAAGUGAGUGUUAAGCUAUUUAUUUCAUCAGUGUUUGUUAACUAAAAGUUUAUUGUGAGUGGUAUUGAUAGUUACUUUCUGUUACUCAGACACAAUUCCUGCUAAUGGGUGUUCAGCUGGUAAUAACUUUGUGAGCCUCCUGGCUGAGAUUUUCCAGGCCAGUUGUCCACAUCCAAAUUAGACUUGUAAACACAGUCAUAUAUUGAAGUUAUAUGAUCGUGCAGCAUUUUUCACAGCACUCUUCACUCAUAAAUGGCCAGGGGGGACCUGCUUCCAGGAAUCAUGGCUUGUAAGAAGGGUGAGUGUUUUCUGUAGGACCUCUAACUUAUUUGGUCUAGAACUUAGAACGUAUUUGUCUGGUGAAUCAGGAUAUUGCUGACACAGAAAGGAUGUUUUAAUUAUUAAUACAGUUCAAUGCUGCUCUGGAAGAUUGGAUUAUGUCCCUGUUGCAGGAUUCAUGUGUGACAAGAAGCAAGUCAUUUAACCAAAUUUACCACAGGUGCUCAUUAACUGUGUCCUCCUCUUUUUCUGCGUUCUUGACCGGAGACUCUGAUUUGUGGAAUUUUUGAGUCCUCAUGGUUGCAAAGAAAAUUAGCACGGACUGUCCAUGGCACAUGUAAGUUCUCUGAAAAAAAUAAAGUCCUAGGCAUACCAAAUUAUCA